GGAAGUGUUUUGCUGGAAGAUGAUGACAGAGGUCAGGCUUUGCUAAUGGGCCAGUGAAGAGCAGUGGAGGCGAGGCAGAGACCAAGGCACACAUACAUUAAUACACUUGAACCAUCACCAAUCAGCAUAGGAAUUCAAGAUCACACAACCAGCAGCUUCAGUGGAGAAAAACUAUUUUACUGGCAACUCUUUUUAAAGCACCAUCAUUUCAAAUCAGUGCGCUCUUAAACUAUUGACAGGAGCUUUGACAACAAGACAAGAUGCCUCAUAAAGAGGGAAGACUCUAACUAGUGGCACGCAGAUGUG